rnacentral:rRNA from 1 species
AUUGAACGCUGGCGGCAGGCUUAACACAUGCAAGUCGAACGAUGAUUAUCUAGCUUGCUAGAUAUGAUUAGUGGCGGACGGGUGAGUAACAUUUAGGAAUCUGCCUAGUAGUGGGGGAUAGCUCGGGGAAACUCGAAUUAAUACCGCAUACGACCUACGGGUGAAAGGGGGCGCAAGCUCUUGCUAUUAGAUGAGCCUAAAUCAGAUUAGCUAGUUGGUGGGGUAAAGGCCCACCAAGGCGACGAUCUGUAACUGGUCUGAGAGGAUGAUCAGUCACACCGGAACUGAGACACGGUCCGGACUCCUACGGGAGGCAGCAGUGGGGAAUAUUGGACAAUGGGGGCAACCCUGAUCCAGCCAUGCCGCGUGUGUGAAGAAGGCCUUUUGGUUGUAAAGCACUUUAAGCAGGGAGGAGAGGCUAAUGGUUAAUACCCAUUAGAUUAGACGUUACCUGCAGAAUAAGCACCGGCUAACUCUGUGCCAGCAGCCGCGGUAAUACAGAGGGCGCGAGCGUUAAUCGGAAUUACUGGGCGUAAAGCGAGUGUAGGUGGCUCAUUAAGUCACAUGUGAAAUCCCCGGGCUUAACCUGGGAACUGCAUGUGAUACUGGUGGUGCUAGAAUAUGUGAGAGGGAAGUAGAAUUCCAGGUGUAGCGGUGAAAUGCGUAGAGAUCUGGAGGAAUACCGAUGGCGAAGGCAGCUUCCUGGCAUAAUAUUGACACUGAGAUUCGAAAGCGUGGGUAGCAAACAGGAUUAGAUACCCUGGUAGUCCACGCCGUAAACGAUGUCUACUAGCCGUUGGGGUCCUUGAGACUUUAGUGGCGCAGUUAACGCGAUAAGUAGACCGCCUGGGGAGUACGGCCGCAAGGUUAAAACUCAAAUGAAUUGACGGGGGCCCGCACAAGCGGUGGAGCAUGUGGUUUAAUUCGAUGCAACGCGAAGAACCUUACCUGGUCUUGACAUAGUGAGAAUCCUGCAGAGAUGCGGGAGUGCCUUCGGGAAUUCACAUACAGGUGCUGCAUGGCUGUCGUCAGCUCGUGUCGUGAGAUGUUGGGUUAAGUCCCGCAACGAGCGCAACCCUUUUCCUUAUUUGCCAGCGGGUUAAGCCGGGAACUUUAAGGAUACUGCCAGUGACAAACUGGAGGAAGGCGGGGACGACGUCAAGUCAUCAUGGCCCUUACGACCAGGGCUACACACGUGCUACAAUGGUAGGUACAGAGGGUUGCUACACAGCGAUGUGAUGCUAAUCUCAAAAGCCUAUCGUAGUCCGGAUUGGAGUCUGCAACUCGACUCCAUGAAGUCGGAAUCGCUAGUAAUCGCAGAUCAGAAUGCUGCGGUGAAUACGUUCCCGGGCCU